rnacentral:rRNA from 1 species
UACAGAGGGGGCAAGCGUUGUUCGGAAUUACUGGGCGUAAAGGGCGCGUAGGCGGCCUGUUAAGUCGGACGUGAAAUCCCUCGGCUCAACCGGGGAACUGCGUCCGAUACUGGCGGGCUUGAAUUCGGGAGAGGGGAUGUGGAAUUCCAGGUGUAGCGGUGAAAUGCGUAGAUAUCUGGAGGAACACCGGUGGCGAAGGCGGCAUCCUGGACCGACAUUGACGCUGAGGCGCGAAAGCCAGGGGAGCAAACGGGG